GAUGAACGCUGGCGGCGUGCCUAAUACAUGCAAGUCGAGCGAACGGAUCAGAAGCUUUCUUCCCUGAUGUUAUCGGCGGACGGGUGAGUAACACGGGGAUAACCUACCUAUAAGACUGGGAUAAUAUCGGCAAACCGUAGCUAAUACCCGAUAAUAUUUUGAACUGCAUUGUUCAAAAGUGAAAGACGGUCUUGCUUACACUUAUAGCUUGAUACGCGCUGCAUUAGUUAGUUGUUAAGGUAACGGCUUAGCAACGCUAGGAUGGAUAGCCGACCUGAAAGCGUCGUCGGCCAGACUGGAAGUGAGAAAGGGCCGAGACUCCUACGGGAGGCAGCAGUAGGGAAUCUUACGCGAUGGGGGAGAGCCUAACAGAGCAAAACGGGGUGAGUGAUGAAGGACCAAGGCUGGGAGAGCGAUGUUAUCAGGAGAGAACAAAAGUGUAAUUAACCGGGAACAUAAUGACAGUACCUAAAGAAAAAGCCACGGCUAACUCCGUG
rnacentral:rRNA from 1 species